rnacentral:lncRNA from 1 species
UGUCUGAAUGUUCAUGGAAUGUGCAGUCAAUAUAAUCAUUUAUCUUCCAGUAUCCAGGGUUUCUUAUAAGCCUAAUUCAAAUACUCUUUUUAACUGGUAAAAUUAUUUGACAUAUCUUCUCUUCAGAUUUCAUAGCCUUUCUGUUUUUUUUUUAAUGCAACUUUAAAAAUAAAUUAUUGCAAGCUGUAAAAACGUACUGUUUGAAGAGAAAAUGUCCCCUUCUAUAUUAAAAACCUUCAGUUUUUGAAUUAUCAUUGUCUUAAAGCCUAUCUUCUCAGAGAAAUGUGGUAUUAAAAAUACAUUCAUUUCAUGAGGUGAGAUUAUUAUAGAAAAUAUGACAAAAACUUCUUUCAACUCUGAGACCCAGAGUGAAGUUUCAGACAAACUAAGGUUGAUUUUCAGAGCCCCUCAAUACUUCAGUGUGUGCUUAUGAGGCUGGACUCUCCAGCUGCAUAUCUAUCAGGAGUGGCUGGGGAGGCAUCGGCUUCUAUGUGCUUGCUACAUACUUCCUUGCUGCAAUUGAAUCUAAGUUUUUGAGAGCUAUACCUUAUGAAAUAGAGUUAAUUCCUCAAGAGGAAUACAGAUCUAAGUUCUGUUACUCAGUUGCGGAAUGUCGGGCAUCCUAUCCACGAGCUAUGGAUAGAGGCAAUGAUUUUUUCAAGUAUUUGCUGUCCAGAGUGGUGGUUUCCUCUGUUGGAGGUAUUCCUAAGUACAACGUAGAUGAGGACACAGUGAUUCGUUAUAUAUGGGACGUCCAUCAAGCAGCCGUUGAUGUUGGAAAAUCACAGCUCAGUGAUGUAUCAUUCUAUUCUUCUGAAACUGAACGAGACUUCUUCAUGGACUUUCUACUUGCAGUAGAAUUUUCUGUGGCAACAUUAUAUCGCCCCUACAUUAACAGUACGGCAGAAUUCCUAGUGGGUUUCCCACAUAGGCCACUCACAGACCAGGAUCGUAAUGUUCUUGCAAGUGACGUCACCGUACGGGAAAAAGCAUUUAUGAGUUCAGUGAAAUUCUUUUCGAGAACAAAUGAAGCUACAGGAGGGUUAUUUUUAACAGUUUGGAAGAUAGCCAUGACUUCAGAAGCUGGACGGGCUGCAGGACGAUUCCUCAUUAAAAGGCUUCUUUUAAUACCAAGUCUUUAAUGGCCUUUUUUUAAUGCCACUAUAUAUAAUCAACUUGAUUCCAUGAUUAAACGCAAUUAAACGCACAGUUGACUCAGUUCUUGGCCUAAGUAGAUAUUUUGUAAGUAUGUUCCAAAUGAUUGAGGCUACUCUGAACAAUACUAAAAAGCAUAAAAUGUCCUGUGACUUUGCUGUUAUAGCAAGAAUUCCGGCCAAAAUUCUGAAAUAAACACGAAUGGG